ACACGGAAACACCAAUUCCCAUACAAUCACCAAAGUUAAACAACUUUAAGCUUGGUCAGUGCAUAGAUGUGUAACCACUUGGGAAUACCAGGUGCUGUAAG